CAGCGGAGGGAUCAUUACCGAGUUUACAACUCCCAAACCCCUGUGAACAUACCACUUGUUGCCUCGGCGGAUCAGCCCGCUCCCGGUAAAACGGGACGGCCCGCCAGAGGACCCCUAAACUCUGUUUCUAUAUGUAACUUCUGAGUAAAACCAUAAAUAAAUCAAAACUUUCAACAACGGAUCUCUUGGUUCUGGCAUCGAUGAAGAACGCAGCAAAAUGCGAUAAGUAAUGUGAAUUGCAGAAUUCAGUGAAUCAUCGAAUCUUUGAACGCACAUUGCGCCCGCCAGUAUUCUGGCGGGCAUGCCUGUUCGGGCGUCAUUUCAACCCUCAAGCACAGCUUGGUGUUGGGACUCGCGUUAAUUCGCGUUCCUCAAAUUGAUUGGCGGUCACGUCGAGCUUCCAUAGCGUAGUAGUAAAACCCUCGUUACUGGUAAUCGUCGCGGCCACGCCGUUAAACCCCAACUUCUGAAUGUUGACCUCGGAUCAGGUAGGAAUACCCGCUGAACUUAAGCAUAUCAAUAAGCGGAGGAA
rnacentral:rRNA from 1 species